rnacentral:rRNA from 1 species
UUUGACUCAACGCGGAAAAGUUAUCUGGUCCGGACGCAGUGAGGAUUGACAGACAGUUUCAGGAGUGGUUCUUGGUAAACAAUUGAGAGAGUUGAAGUUCUUUCAUGAUCUUGUGAGAGGUGGUGCAUGGCCGUUCUUAGUUCGUGUAGUGAUAUGUCUGCCUAAUCGCGUCACGAUAACCUAUUGGUCGACAACCCAAUUAUCACAACUGCAGCAUAACUCCCCUUGGGUGGGCGAGGCUCUGUGUAGGAUAGACCUCUGAACAGUACGCAACGAACGCGAUCGUAAUCCCUUGUUGAGUGGCCAUCCUGUAAGCUGCUGGAUUAGGAACCCAGUGGUAUUAUCUCAGCCACAGAUUUUCUGGUUGUAAUGGGCCAGUUUUGAAACUCGGGGAACAUCUGUGACUUUCUUUCUUAACGCAGAGGAAGGUUAUGGCAAUAACAGG